GACGAACGCUGGCGGCGUGCUUAACACAUGCAAGUCGAACGGUAAGGCCCUUCGGGGUACACGAGUGGCGAACGGGUGAGUAACACGUGGGUGAUCUGCCCUGCACUUCGGGAUAAGCCUGGGAAACUGGGUCUAAUACCGGAUAGGACUCCGGAUUGCAUGGUCUGGGGUGGAAAGCUUUUGCGGUGUGGGAUGGGCCCGCGGCCUAUCAGCUUGUUGGUGGGGUGAUGGCCUACCAAGGCGACGACGGGUAGCCGGCCUGAGAGGGUAACCGGCCACACUGGGACUGAGAUACGGCCCAGACUCCUACGGGAGGCAGCAGUGGGGAAUAUUGCACAAUGGGCGCAAGCCUGAUGCAGCGACGCCGCGUGAGGGAUGACGGCCUUCGGGUUGUAAACCUCUUUCAGCAUCGACGAAGCGAAAGUGACGGUAGGUGCAGAAGAAGGACCGGCCAACUACGUGCCAGCAGCCGCCGUAA
rnacentral:rRNA from 1 species